CAUACAUAAAAAUUUAUAUGCAUAAUACACAGCUAUGAUAUUUAAAGAAAAAGAUUUUAUAUAAGUGCGUAUAAACACAUUUUAGAUCUAUGAGAAUUAUGCCCACUGAUUUUCUACUGUGAGUGAUGCUGUAAUCACUCAUCAUUGAUGGAAUUUCUUUCUUCCUCACUUCUAGAAAGGGUGUAUGUGAGAACCAUUUGAAAUCCCUUGAAGAGCCUUCCCGAGGAGGAUAACAUGUGUGGAAAUCAUUGAGGGAACACUUCUUCAGAAGUGGAAAUAAAGUUAACCACACCAGCAUGGCAGGUGCCUCAGAACAUAACGCUGGAAUGGUAUGACUCCAAUGCAGGUGGCAACUGUUAAGGAGAUUCGGCUGUGAAAAUGGAAUUGAAAGAGGUCCAACUGCAAAUAGGGGAGGGAAGCCACUGCAAUCCACCAAAAAAAAUGCAGAGAACACAUUUAAUGCAUUGUUUUUGUGAAAAAGAAACCAAACAUCUUAAUCUCAAACGGCAAGAGAUGAGGCCCAUUGGUGAACAACUAUCCAAUCAUAAUAAUGGACUCAACUAAUCCUAGGACCAGUGAAAAGGACAUGAGCUUCUUCAGAAAUUUAAGGAUGUAUGUUUACAUGAACAUUCAAAGAUUUCAGUAAAAAUGCUUCUCAUCCUAAUCCUUCAUCUACAUUCUGUGUAAGACCAAAGAUUUUAUAUGUGGAAGAAAUAAUCAAGAAGCUUAAAAGAAAGAUAUUUCUAUGGAUACAUAUCCCCAAGAAUAACCACCAUAACUAUUUCAAAGUAGCUAACACAUGAGUCCAGACUGGAAAAAGACAGCUGAGCUUAAUUUUCUAUGGCAUUUCCCGUGGUAUUAUAUUUGCUUGUGCCAAAUGGAUAUGGACAUUUUUAGCUCAAGUUUUCAGUGGUUUGUUUUUUCAUCUCAUCUGUGCUCCAAUGCACAAUUUCAUCUGCUCACACCUGCAUAGCCAACAUGUUGGCUAUGUAGAAAACUUCCAUGGCUCCUACUAUCACAUGGGACUGUAGUACUAAAUGCUUAAUGGGCCAGUUGCUUCCAAAGAAAGCAAAAGAUUCAUCAGGAUUUUUUUUUUAAGAUUCAUCAGGAUUUAGACUACCUUUAUGACUGCCCAGUACAAAUGAAAACCCCUUUGUUCCAUUUAUGCCAACAUUUCUCCUCUAAUGCAUUCAUUAGAACCUUUAUCCCUUUUUAGAUGUACUACUUAAUUGAUAACUUUGAUUGGUACUGUUGUGCUUCAUGAUUUGAAGAAUUUUUCAAGAAUGAUUUAUGGGAAGAAAAUAUCCAAGAUUAAGCAAUCAUUUGUAGAUCUUGAUAAGAGACUUAAAAUACUCCUAAGAUCCAUAUUCAUCUCCUACAUUAAGUUCAUUUUAAAACUAGUCCUUUAAUUUUUAUCUUCAGCUAUGAAUAUAAAACCAAUAGCAUCUCUGUUCCAGUUUCAUAGAGGUUCACUGGAAGAGCCUCUACCUGCCUCUAUGGAUUUAACAUCUUUAGCAGCCACGUUGCAGAAAUUUAAGUAAAGUUUGUAUUAAACAAAAGUGUACCCCUUACACCAGAACCAAGUUCUGGAUAAUGGCGACAUAUAUGUAUUCAUUCACAAAUAUGUAUCAAGCUCAAUGAAUAACAGUGAAUAUAAAAAUACUUUUUUCAUGAAUCUUAUGGUAUAAUAAUAAAGUUUAACAACUAAGAAAUCA
rnacentral:lncRNA from 1 species